AGAACGAACGCUGGCGGCAGGCCUAACACAUGCAAGUCGAACGCCCCGCAAGGGGAGUGGCAGACGGGUGAGUAACGCGUGGGAACGUACCCUUCGGUUCGGAAUAACCCGGGGAAACUCGGGCUAAUACCGGAUACGUCCGCAAGGAGAAAGAUUUAUCGCCGAAGGAUCGGCCCGCGUCGGAUUAGCUAGUUGGUGGGGUAACGGCCCACCAAGGCGACGAUCCGUAGCUGGUCUGAGAGGAUGAUCAGCCACACUGGGACUGAGACACGGCCCAGACUCCUACGGGAGGCAGCAGUGGGGAAUAUUGGACAAUGGGCGAAAGCCUGAUCCAGCCAUGCCGCGUGAGUGAAGAAGGCCCUAGGGUUGUAAAGCUCUUUCAGCGGGGAAGAUAAUGACGGUACCCGCAGAAGAAGCCCCGGCUAACUUCGUGCCAGCAGCCGC
rnacentral:rRNA from 1 species